GAUGAACGCUGGCGGCGUGCCUAAUACAUGCAAGUAGAACGCUGAAGGAAGGAGCUUGCUCUUUCCGGAUGAGUUGCGAACGGGUGAGUAACGCGUAGGUAACCUGCCUGGUAGCGGGGGAUAACUAUUGGAAACGAUAGCUAAUACCGCAUAACAGUAGAUGUUGCAUGAUAUCUACUUAAAAGGUGCAAUUGCACCACUACCAGAUGGACCUGCGUUGUAUUAGCUAGUUGGUGAGGUAACGGCUCACCAAGGCGACGAUACAUAGCCGACCUGAGAGGGUGAUCGGCCACACUGGGACUGAGACACGGCCCAGACUCCUACGGGAGGCAGCAGUAGGGAAUCUUGGGCCAUGGACGGAAGUCUGACCGAGCAACGCCGCGUGAGUGAAGAAGGUUUUCGAAUCGUAAAGCUCUGUUGUAAGAGAAGAACGAGUGUGAGAGUGGAAAGUUCACACUGUGACGGUAUCUGACCAGAAAGGGACGGCUAACUACGUG
rnacentral:rRNA from 1 species